rnacentral:rRNA from 1 species
CCUACGGGAGGCUGCAGUGGGGAAUAUUGCACAAUGGGCGCAAGCCUAAUGCAGCAAUGCCGCGUGUAUGAAGAAGGCCUUCGGGUUGUAAAGUACUUUCAGUCGUGAGGAAGGUGUUAAGGUUAAUAACCUUAGCAAUUGACGUUAGCGAGAGAAGAAGCACCGGCUAACUCCGUGCCAGCAGCCGCGGCAAUACGGAGGGUGCGAGCGUUAAUCGGAAUUACUGGGCGUAAAGGGCACGCAGGCGGUUAAGUAAGUUGGAUGUGAAAUCCCCGGGCUGAAGCUGGGAAUGGUAUUCAAGACUGGUUAGCUAGAGUCUUGUAGAGGGGGGUAGAAUACAAUGUGUAGCGGUGAAAUGCGUAGAGAUGUGGAGGAAUACCGGUGGCGAAGGCGGCCCCCUGGACAAGGACUGACGCUCAUGUGCGAAAGCGUGGGUAGCCAACAGGAUUAGAUACCACAGUAGUC